rnacentral:ncRNA from 1 species
AAAUUUUUGGUCCUAGACUUAAUGUUAUCUACUCCAAGCCUAUACAUGCAAGCCUCCCCACCCCAGUGACCACCCGGCAUCAGGGACGUAAACCCUAAAACGCCGAGCCCCGCCACAUCCACACGGAAUAGUAGCAGUAACCAAUAUUAGGCCAUGAGCACACGCUCGACCAGACUACGGAAAACAGGGCCGGCAAAUUUAUGUGCCAGCCGCCGCGGUUACACUGAAGACCCAAAAUAACAACCCCCGGCACAAAUAAUGGUUAAAAAUGACCAACCACUAAGAACUAACCAAAACUGAUACGUGAAACAACACCAAACAGACGCCCAAAAAUCUUACACUCACGGACUUUUGACCCAUAAAGGUUAGGGCACAAACUAGGAUUAGUUACCCUACUAUGCCUAACUGCAAAUUUAUUAAGCCAAAAAAAUACAAGCCACCCCCAAACUUAAAGGACCUGGCGGUACUCUACAUCAACCUAGAGGGGCCUGUCCAAUAACCGACAACCCGCGUAAAACCAAACCUACUCUAGCCCCAAUAAGCCUAUAUACCGCCGUCUCCAGCACCUUUCACGAGAAACGCAGCACAAAAGUCACACACUAACACGUCAGGUCAAGGUGUAGCACAUGAGUGGGAUGAGAUUGGCCACAAUUCAACACGUUCAAUUGACCACAGUGAAACCUGUAAUAGUAAUAACGAAUUUAGUAGUAAGGAAGUUUAAUGAAUGCCUUCCUGAAACAUUUCCCCCAGCCCUCGAGUACGCACAUACCGCCCGUCAUCCCCUUUAACAAAUAUAAGGGGCAAGUCGUAACAUGGUAAGUGCACCAGAAGGUGUACUUAGAAGAC